rnacentral:rRNA from 1 species
UACGGAGGGUCCAAGCGUUAUCCGGAAUCAUUGGGUUUAAAGGGUCCGUAGGCGGUUUUGUAAGUCAGUGGUGAAAGCCCAUCGCUCAACGGUGGAACGGCCAUUGAUACUGCAAGACUUGAAUUAUUGGGAGGCAACUAGAAUAUGUAGUGUAGCGGUGAAAUGCUUAGAGAUUACAUGGAAUACCAAUUGCGAAGGCAGGUUGCUACCAAUACAUUGACGCUGAUGGACGAAAGCGUGGGGAGCGAACAGG